GUUUUUCCAGGUACUGCUUCUACUUCAGACAGCCAUUAAUAGUGUGACAUGGUCCUUAAUGGAAUGAUCAAUACUUUGUCUGAUCUUGCUUGGAAAUAUCACCCUUCAUGGGUGGUGGUAGUUAGAAGAACCAUGGUUCAUUCUUGAGCUUACAGAGAAUCUAGCUAAUUGGAACUGUGAACUUGGUGUACGUUUCAGGCGUUGAGUCAUCUCUAUUUGUGGAACUGUCCCUCCGCUUUUUUGUUUGCUCAUUCUCGCUGAACUGCUUAGCCUCGUCCCAUAUUGCAUUCUUAUCUGCCAAUCAUAUGAAGUUGUUAAGGUCAGUUCCCCACCCAUGAUCAAUUUUCUAAAUAAAGAUUGUUCGGUGAGAAGCCCAUUUUGAAUACUACCGUUGUUAUGCCUUCGUUGCAGCAGACAAUCUUAGCUUUCUCUGCCUUGAACCUCUUAACAUAGUUGUGAAUUGAUUCGUUUGGGUCCUUUAUGAUGUUGAAGAGGUGGUCGAACAUCUUUUUAAUUAAGUGAAAACUAAAGAAAGUUCGUUGAAGUUCUGGAUUGAGCGCAGUUGUAAGGCAUGGAAUAAGUCUUGUAACUCGCCUUGCAAUGUUGUGGCGAAAACCUUGUACCUAAGAGUGUCAUUGUUGCUGUAAAGAAUCGUAGCGCAGCGAUAAUGCUUUAGGUGCCUGUCCAAAUCUUCAUCUCCCUUGAAAAUACUGACAUGCUCAUUUUGGCCAUGUCUUUUUUAAUGGUAUCGUCGGUAGUCUCAAUGCGUUGGAAUCAGCUUAGCUACUUUGCUAUGAGCCUUUGUACUUCUUCCUGGAUUUGCCUCUGGUGGAGCAGUGGAGCAUCUAGCUGCCCUCAGUGUUGACCUACUAGUCUAUAUUGCUCUUUUACAUGUCCUGCUCGUCUAUGCCAUGGUCGCGAUGCAUAAGGUUCAUUCUGUGAUGCUCGUUGUCAUGCUUGGCGAAGGCUACCAGUGGAACUCGAGUUGGUCUGCUCUCAUGCUCUCCUUAGUCCAUCAUGUGGCUGCCUACUCUGGUGCCCCGUAAGAGGAUCUCUUUGUGGGCCUAGCCUUGUGGAGACACUUGCUUGGAAUGUCCAAAGUGCUCGUCGAAGUAUGGACCUAACCUUGAAUGCACAUUGACUCGUGAGCCGAGUCGGAAAUUAACGUUUCUCUAUACACUGAGAUGGGAGAAGAUGUUUUCCUGAGGGCCAAAAUGAGAGUGCACACUUCCCGAAUUCACGAUUCGUGAUGGGCUGAGCGGCUGUUUGCUGGGAUGUCCUUGGAAUGAAUCACCAUCAUUUGCCCUUGUU
rnacentral:lncRNA from 1 species